UACGGAGGGGGGCUAGCGUUGUUCGGAAUUACUGGGCGUAAAGCGCACGUAGGCGGCUUUGUAAGUUAGAGGUGAAAGCCCGGGGCUCAACUCCGGAAUUGCCUUUAAGACUGCAUCGCUAGAAUUGUGGAGAGGUAAGUGGAAUUCCGAGUGUAGAGGUGAAAUUCGUAGAUAUUCGGAAGAACACCAGUGGCGAAGGCGGCUCACUGGCCCGAUACUGACGCUGAGGCACGAAAGCGUGGGGAGCAAACAGG
rnacentral:rRNA from 1 species